AAAGCUUUAAGUUAAAUAAAACUAUUAGCCUUCAAAGUUAAAUAUGUAAAGUAAAUUACAAGCUUUA
rnacentral:tRNA from 1 species